AUAGGAACUACCUGGAUUCAGAUAUGUGAGCAUCAGGCAAAUGCUUGAUUCCUUAGAUCAGGACUCAAACAUAAAGCCAGUUUUGGAAAAUAACUUAAUACUGCGGAUUCACAAACAUGAGAAGGACACAGGAGCGGCCGAAGCAGAUAAAUAAAACAAGACUGAUCUGAGGAUGAACCGUGCGUUCUCCUCCUUCGGCUUAAGAAACAUCCCUUGGCCAUGGCAAAGGCAGGCAUGUCUCAAGCGCUGUCAGCAGGCGUAGAAGCACUACUUCUGUGCAUGCUAAGCAUGGAUCACUCUCAGAAUCAGCAGAUGGGAAAACUGAAGCACACAUAGAUGAAGACAAUGAACAUAAACUCCUGGCACACAGUCAUGGCAAGGACAGGUAAGUACUGAUUGGUUCUUGUGUAUCAGGCACUUUGCUUAGCGCUUCAUAUGCAUUGUCUCAUUUACCCCCAAAAUCCCAUUAACCACUUAAG